rnacentral:lncRNA from 1 species
AGAGCGAGCUACGCUGCAGGAGCGCAGUUACCAGCCGGCUGCGAUCACGUGCCUGGGAGGAGGAGCUGAGACCUCAGGGGAGGGGCGCGCGGUAGCGUCCCGGGUCCCCUAGCAGGGCUCUAGAGACCACGUGAAGUCUCCUCGACAGCUGCUUUGCCUCAGGCAUAAAUCAGAAGAGGAAAACCAGCUUCUGGACCUGGAGAGAGGAUGAAAGGGAAUAGGAAUUGAGGGAAGCGGAAGGGAAGAAUAAGGGACCCCUGGAGAGUCCCUACCAAGCCAGACAUAACAAACAAAAGUCCUCUACUACUGAGGAAGACAGAACAGGGAAGCCAGCAGGGGAAGAAAAAGAUGCUGCUGCUCUUGAUGCCUCAAAAACAGCAAGGAAGAACCCAAGCAACUGAUGUACACACCCUUGGAACAAAUCUGCCCCAGAAGUACAAGACACACUCUUCGAAUUCAUGGAAUAAAUGGGAGGAGCUGGUGUAGUGAAGGAUGAAGAGAAGGCAAUGCAUUGGUUUAGACAAGCCUCCCAGCAGGACCAUCCUGGUGCUGCCUUUAACCUUGCAGUAGGAACACUGAAAAACAUGACUGCCUCCAUGGAAGCAGGGGAUGUAGAAAUGCUCCUUAAUGUUGCUGCAAAAUGGGGGAUCCAAGAAGCCCAAGAACUUCUGGAGAAUGUUAUUUGGACUAAAAGCAAGCUCUUGCCAACUGAAAGAACCAGG